UCAACUUGAGAGUUUGAUCCUGGCUCAGAACGAACGCUGGCGGCAGGCUUAACACAUGCAAGUCGAGCGCCCCUCCUUCAAGCAAGCUUGAAGGUCCUUUGGCCGAAGGCCAGGAAAGAGGAUCAAGAAAGCCGAGCUUUCUUGAUGGAGGGGAGCGGCAGACGGGUGAGUAACGCGUGGGAAUCUACCUAGCUCUACGGAAUAACCCAGGGAAACUUGGACUAAUACCGUAUACGUCCGAGAGGAGAAAGAUUUAUCGGAGUUAGAUGAGCCCGCGUUGGAUUAGCUAGUUGGUGGGGUAAAGGCCUACCAAGGCGACGAUCCAUAGCUGGUCUGAGAGGAUGAUCAGCCACACUGGGACUGAGACACGGCCCAGACUCCUACGGGAGGCAGCAGUGGGGAAUAUUGGACAAUGGGCGCAAGCCUGAUCCAGCCAUGCCGCGUGAGUGAUGACGGCCUUAGGGUUGUAAAGCUCUUUCAACGGUGAAGAUAAUGACGGUAACCGUAGAAGAAGCCCCGGCUAACUUCGUGCCAGCAGCCGCGGUAAUACGAAGGGGGCUAGCGUUGUUCGGAAUUACUGGGCGUAAAGCGCACGUAGGCGGAUACUUAAGUCAGGGGUGAAAUCCCGGGGCUCAACCCCGGAACUGCCUUUGAUACUGGGUAUCUAGAGUAUGGUAGAGGUGAGUGGAAUUCCGAGUGUAGAGGUGAAAUUCGUAGAUAUUCGGAGGAACACCAGUGGCGAAGGCGGCUCACUGGACCAUUACUGACGCUG
rnacentral:rRNA from 1 species